GGUUGCUAUGGCUUCUGCUCCUUGAACCAGACAAUGUCUUCUACACAGUGAGGCCUUGAGCCUGACUGCGCAGUCUGAGGGCUCCCCACACGCUCGGCCUUGCUGUCAAGCACAAAAACCGUGAACUGAAAGAACAGCACAGAGAGAAUCACCACUCCCAGACGUCUGCGAGCAAUAUAUAAUUGUUGGAGCUUUUUUCUAAAGUCUUUGGCAGGUCUUCUGAGCAACUAGCUGUAAGGGAAUUUGCUGGAAAACACAAUGUUCUAAAAGAAUGUAUGGACACAAAACACCAGAACUACAACGCAUGCUGGCGCAGCUCCCCACCUGAACUACUACAAAUAACAUUGUCUCUUUGUAAAAACCACCAAUGACAAACGGCAAUAAUAAUCAAAACCAGACCUGCACCGAUUGUAUAUGAACAAAUUGAUAUGUGGAUAUUACCUAUAAUUUAUAUCUUAAGGGAAAAUAAAUACAUAAUGUAUAAGUGUGAAUAAAGA
rnacentral:lncRNA from 1 species